CUGCUAGCAGCACGUGGCCUAAAAUGGGGGUUUAUGCAGGUGUCACAAAGCUCCAAGUAUGGACAGGGUGACCCCAGCCCUAGGAAGGAAGGAUUGCAGGGCUCUUCCAGGCAGCUUCCCCUAGAAGCGCUUUCUGGUUCUUACACAGCAUCAGGGGUACACGGAGCCUAGUUCCGGAGAUGGGUUGGGUGCAGCUCCCCCAAAGGCCCUCUCCACAACCCAGGCUUUUUUACUGCUCCCUUGGACCCUUACCAGCUUGUCUGCCUCCCUUGAGAUUCUCUGGUCUCAGAGAGUCCUUCUGCCAGCCCCCUUGCCUCUGUGACCUCUCAGGUGACUCCCCAGCUGUUCCAGGACGCCUUCUCAAGGUACCAUCAUCCUCAUUUCACCCGAAUGUCAGAGGACAGCAGAGAUGCGGAGGGGGAUGGGAGGAGGCUAUCCUAGGUCCGCGGGCCUGCGGGAGCUCUUAAAAUGGCCACAGUAAGCUCACUGGCAUUUCAGGGAUGGCAGCAAGAGCGGUGGACUGAGGACUUUGCUCUCCAUCCCACUAUUCAGUUUCAAGAAAAAGAGUGGAGCUGAAAUAACAAAGAAGAAUUUCACUUAGUCACAUCACAGAAAGCACCCAAACAGAAUCUGGAAGAUUACCUGCAAGAAAUAUAGAAUGAAUUCUUCACUGAUGGAAGGCUAUUUUAGAAAAUCACACAAAGAAGGCAGUGAGUCAAUUUGAGAAGAGCCCUGGAAUAGAAGUCAGGUAAAGAUUUUUCAAGUUAUCGACCACCCUUUCUGAUGGAAUGGCUUGGAUCACCUCUUUGUUUUCAGAUGCUGAUUCCCAUUCUCAAAUGGAGCUUGUUUUGCUGGAUAAGAACUGAGAGAGUCAAGGGAGAGAAGGGAGAAGAGAUGGAAGUAAGUGGAAAAAGAGAAUAAAGAAAAAGGAAAUGGAGGUGAGAGAGGAAGAGGAGAAUGAAUGAUAAAAUGGUAGGGAAAAAAGGAGGAUAUGAAGAUGGCUGAGGAGGAAAGAGAUGAAAGAAAAAGAAAGAAAGAAAGAAAGAAAGGAAGGAAGGAAGGAAGGGAGGAAGAAAGAAAGAAAGAAAGAAAGAAAGAAAGAAAGAAAGAAAGAAAGAAAGAAAGAAAGAAAGAUUAAGUAAAGGAAGAAGAUGAAGAAGAGGUGAACUCAAGAGAUCAAGGCUGAGACUUUUCCUAAAAGUUCCUUUUGUUGCUCAGCUCCAAGAUUUUUAAUUUGCCCCUUUUCACUGUAAGACAUUCUUAUAGCAGGAUUCUAAGAUCCCUUUCUGAAUCUAAAAUUGUAUGGUCUGACUCCAUCUGGCCUGCCUGUGAUUAACUGUCUUCUCUCCCUCAUCUGUCACAGAGCAGAAGCCACUCAUCCACACACAUAUUCCCUUAUUUCAGUAUGUUGUGGAAACCCUCAAGUGGGUAGUAAAUUGGGAAAGAAGACAUCAGGACUGAAGUGUAAAUUGAGAAUAUGGAAAGAAUACAGAUAAUUAGUUGCCAAUUCCUGUUGCUUCUCCUGUGGCACUUCUUCUGUGUAUCUUCUCUACAAGCAUAACCUAGAUCACCCCCUUGCUUUUAUCUCUCCUGGACCAUCAUCACAUCAGCCUCCUGAAUGACUCCAUGUCUUGAUUAUUGCAUCCCCCGAAUCCAUUCUUUCACUUCUAUCAGAGAUAUAUUCCUAAGGCACUGUUUAAUCCAGAUUGUCUAUGAUCAAACACUUUAGUGAUUCUUCAUUGCCUUUAAGUUGAGGUACCAAAUUCUUAUGUUCAGGAUUCUAGCAACUACAACCAAUGUAAACAUUAUAUGCCAUGACAUAAGCUAAAAUAGAUAAUAUCAGCAAUUAUUGAAAAAGUCGUAGGGGAAACCCACCAAAAGAGGGGGAGGUGAGGGGAAAGAGUUUUUUUUUAAAGCUCUAAUAUGUACAUUAAAUCACUCUCCAAGAUGAUUGUAAACUGCAUAAAUUGUAAACAUGUACUAAUUAAAUAAAAUUUAAAAUAAAAAUAUUAACAAGUA